AUCCAGAUGAUGAGUCCCAAAUAAGACAAAAUGUGCAUCUUGGAU
rnacentral:hammerhead_ribozyme from 1 species